rnacentral:lncRNA from 1 species
GCUAUAUCUUCAAUAUUUUCUACAUAUCCAAAGAAUGACAUGGAAGCUUACAGGAUGAAAUGAUCUGGAGCACAUAUAUUCCCAGGGGAUGUUAGAGCAUGCUGAGAUAAUAAAGUUGGAAACAAGACGACGGCGGGACAUUAGAGGAGAGGAGAGGAGAGGAGAUCAGCAGCCUGUACACGGGAGGACCAGGGAGUAAGCCCUUUUCCAGGCUAGAUUCCCUGGUCAUGUGUUCAGGCUCUUACUACCCAGUGUAUGACACACUCAGGCCAUUCAGACUCCUGUUCUCCAACAGAGGCAGGACAUGACCUUAAGGCAAUGGAAAGAGGCAUCACCAAUGCAAUACAGUAUUAAAAG